AUGCUACAUUUGCUUAAUAUUGUAUUUUCAGCAGGCAUUCUCAUUAAUAUGCCAACUCAGAGACUUGAUCCGGAGAAUUGCUCUGGGUGCAAGCAAGCCCACGCGAUUUUUGCCCCUGAUAACCUGGGAGAUUUGCAAACAGGAGGCUGUUUUCCAGUGAGAUGGGUGUCACCAUCAGGAGAAAUGCUCCUGCCAGUGAAGAACUCAACAGACUGCAGAGCUGUCAUCGUCAGAGCUUGUCACCCCUCCUCUGUUGGCCAUGAGACACGUCUGCACAGAGCCCCACCACAGGCUGAGGCAAAAUGCAGUGCUACUGCCAGCAGCAGGAGACCUUGCUUGCUCAGUGCUCUUUAUCUGCUCAGUCUUGAGAAGAGAAAUCGUGCCACGGUCUUCUCUAGUCAACCUCCAGGCUGGCUGGUAUGUGGUCCCAAGCUAAAGAGGCCCUUGAGCUCUCUUCUAAGUAUGAAAGAUGAAAAUUCGAAGACGUUGUAUGACUAA
rnacentral:lncRNA from 1 species